rnacentral:rRNA from 1 species
CCUACGGGAGGCAGCAGUGGGGAAUAUUGGACAAUGGGCGAAAGCCUGAUCCAGCAAUGCCGCGUGAGUGAUGAAGGCCUUAGGGUUGUAAAGCUCUUUUACCAGGGAUGAUAAUGACAGUACCUGGAGAAUAAGCUCCGGCUAACUCCGUGCCAGCAGCCGCGGUAAUACGGAGGGAGCUAGCGUUGUUCGGAAUUACUGGGCGUAAAGAGUACGUAGGCGGUUAUUCAAGUCAGAGGUGAAAGCCCGGGGCUCAACCCCGGAACUGCCUUUGAAACUAGAUAGCUAGAGUCUUGGAGAGGUUAGUGGAAUUCCGAGUGUAGAGGUGAAAUUCGUAGAUAUUCGGAAGAACACCAGUGGCGAAGGCGACUAACUGGACAAGUACUGACGCUGAGGUACGAAAGCGUGGGGAGCAAACAGGAUUAGAUACCCUGGUAGUCCACGCCGUAAACGAUGAUAACUAGUUGUUCGGGCACUUGGUGCCUGAGUGACGCAGCUAACGCAUUAAGUUAUCCGCCUGGGGAUACGGUCGCAAGAUUAAAACUCAAAGGAAUUGACGG